UAUUUGGCUCUUGCUUGACAUGGUAAACAGUAUUGCCAAGCAUUAUCUCAGUUAUUUAAUCAGUUUCAUGGCCCUUCAUUUAGUAUAAUUACUUUUAUGUGCUUCCAUUCAAGAAUUAUAUUAAAUUAAAAAGGCUUCUUGUCUAUCUUUGUUAGAUUCAUGUAUUUUUGUUAAAAUAGUGUACUUGAUAGCUAUCUAUUUUUAUAUAUUUUUUUAAGUAUUUUAUAUUUAUUAAAAAAAAUAUUAAAAAAAAAGGCCUCGUUCAUUGGAUUCGCCUUAGGCCCCAGAAUGUAUUGAGCCGCCCCUG
rnacentral:lncRNA from 1 species